rnacentral:lncRNA from 1 species
AAGCAACAGUCCCAGACGCCUACUAGGGAGGCACCGGCCAUGGCACUGGGUGGAAAGAGGGUUAAGAAAGAAAAUAUAAAAUCACUACAUAAGGAAGUAGUUGGAAAUGCUGGAAGGGGCCUGCCCAAAAGAUGUCUGGCAUCUGGGAACAGCCAAAGUGUGACCCAACUCUGGCCAAAGUGACAACGUUGGAAAACCAGGAACUCAAGGUUAUGGCUGUUUGUGUGACUAUUGAUUAAACAACAACAACAGUUGAAGGGUUGGAGAGAUGGCUUGGUGGUUAAGAACACUGGAUACUCUUCCAGAGGAUCUUGGCUUGGCUUGCGGCGCCCACAUGGUGGCUCACAACCAUCUAUAACUCCAGUUCCAGGUUUUAUGAUGCCUUCUUCUAGCCAAGAUACUGCACUCACGUGGUGCGUAUCAAGGUGCAGACAAAACACCCAUCAAGGUGGGAGGGUAUGGGGGACUUUUGGGAUAGCAUUGGAAAUGUAAUUGAGGAAAAUACGUAAUAAAAAAAUAAAAAACAACAACAACAAAACACCCUGGGCUGGAGAGAUGGCUCAGCAGUUAAGACCACUGACUGCUCUUCCAAAGGUCCUGAGUUCAAUUCCCAGCAACCACAUGGUGACUCACAACCAUCUGUAAC